rfam:Chlorocebus sabaeus isolate 1994-021 chromosome 17, whole genome shotgun sequence.
CCAAAGGCUCUUUUCAGAGCCACUCACUAUUAUCUAAAGAAGAGCU